CCAAGGACCUGUGCACACUGCUGCAAGACGAGCUCUGGAUAGCACAACACGGACAACUUUCCCCCGUCUUCUUUCUUUAAUUCCCUUUUGAUUUUCUCGAAGGACCUGCACCUUGGGAUUAUAUGCUUUUAGACCUAUUAAAUACUGUAUGAGUUUUAUUAUGGCAAAGCAGAAGUGCGAUUUUUGUCUAUACUGAAUAGAGCGUCUGAAAGAGGGGCAGCUGCGCUUCUUGUCUGAGACUUCAGUAAAUUGAGCUGAAGUUGUAUGUUGUUUUUAUAAGGUGAAGGACAAGUGCAAUGCGAGUAAGAGUUGUCUCUUGGGAUUGUCCCGCUCGGGUGUGAGGAGUCAUGUCGAGCUGCCAGAGUGCCUGGGGAAGAGGACGCAGUCUAAUGUGAAUAACAAGAGUCAACUUCCAGCCUGUUCAGCUUUUCUGAGUUACAAGCAAGUGCACGGAGUUUGCCUGAGCCCGCUGAGCAGCUCUCACACUGGUUUCUCUCCCCGAGGGGAUGGUUGAGGAUCCUCGGGGGCCAGGAGCGACUCUGCGGCUCCUACAGAAUAGCACCUUUUUCUUGUUUGGGGGGAAAUCUAAAUUAAAGGGAGAUGAGAUCCGCACUUUUUUACUUCCUCCUGUGGACGCCGUACCUGCUGCUCGUCACUGCUGAGGAAGUGGAGAUUCCCCAGGAGCUGAUAGAGAGACUGUCCCGCAGUGAAAUCCACAGCAUCAGCGACCUCCAGCGGCUACUGGAGAUAGACUCCGUAGGUACGGGAAACGAUGUCAUCGAGGAGCCCAAGCACCACCACAAGCACCACAACCACCAUAAGAACAACUCUCGUCACCAUGGUUACUACAACGACCUGAAGAGCUCGCAGCUCCACAGCCGACGCAAGAGGAGCAUCGUGGAGGAGGCGGUCCCGGCGGUGUGUAAGACGCGGACGGUGAUCUAUGAGAUCCCCAGGAGCCAGGUGGAUCCCACAGCUGCCAACUUCCUGAUAUGGCCGCCCUGCGUGGAAGUGAAGCGCUGCACAGGCUGCUGCAACACCAGCAACAUGCGCUGUCAUCCGUCACGAAAGCACCACCGCACAGUUAAGGUGGCCAAGGUGGAGUACGUGAGGAGGAAACCCAAGCUGAAAGAGGUCUUUGUGCGGUUAGAAGACCACCUGGAGUGUGUGUGCACAUCGCAGCACCACGUGGUGGAGCACUCAGACGCAGACACGGGCCACCGUAGGGCUAAAGGUAAAAAAAGGAAACCUAAAAAGCUAAGGCCCAACAAGGAUUUAUUGGCGACAUAAUAAACUUGCACUCAUUACCCAAAGUCCACUGGAGAGCUGUGAAGGGAACAGUGGACGUGAGGUGAGAUCAAUCAGAGCAAGGGACUUCAGUGUGGGAGGGGCUAAAGAGAAGAUGCCACCAAUAGGAGACCUGCUCUUUCCCCUCACCCAACCCCGUGCCACCAUCUUUUUAAAGACAAACUUUUCUGUAAAGACAAGAGACUGAAAAAGACAGACAUGAUGAAUUAAGAUGCCAAAGGUGCUUUUUUUUUUUUUUUUUUUUUUUUUUUUUUACCAUAACCAGUGAUGAUGACAUCCUCCAAGCUGCACCACCACAGUCAAUUGAACACUGACACUGACAAGGAAGAUGAUGCUGUGGAGCUUGGGCAGGGCUGUACAGGAUGAUGAAAGGGAUUCAUGUCGAACACUGACGAACUUCUUGCAAACAGGACACAGAAAUGGCUACUAACCAUUUGGAUCAAGCUUUGUUGGGGUGGCUGUUGUCCUAAAAAACAGCAUUGGAUGACGAAAUACUGUAAACCAACAAACACAAAGACUCAUGGGUCUGCCUCCCCUGCCCAGUGACUGUAUGCACAGUCAAUGGAAGACAGACAGAGAAAAGAAAAGAGAGAGAGAGAGAGAGAAGGCAUGAAAUAUGAAAUUGAAAAAAAAAAAAAAACACUGCAUGGAGUAUCAAACUGUAUGUCCUUUUGGAUGCUUUGUUUUGAAUCAAGAGGACAGCUCCUUCUCAGAGACCUUCGGUCGUCUCUGAUUGUGUCUAGCUGCCAUGUGCAGCUCUGACUUGAAAAGGAAGGCAUGCCGCUACUUACAAACUAUUUAUACGUGUGAACGCUUGGGAACUCUCUCUUCCAGCACAACAGAUAGAAAGAAAAAAGAAAGACUUUGCUAUGGUUUUUGGUCUGGUUCUCUGUAAGCAAUCUCAAUGUCAUUUUUUAGUUGUUGUUAUUGUCGUUGUCCAUGUUUCUUAUUAUAUUACAGUAUACCUGAUGAUGUCAAGUCUUGUAUAUGGUCUGGAUAUGUGUGUGCAAGGAGGAGAUGUGAGAUGAACGAGUCAGUACCGGAAGAUGCUUUAUUUUGUUAUGAAAUAUAUUAUGCUUACUUAUAUCCAA